rnacentral:tRNA from 1 species
GACCCGUUAGUUCAGCGGUUAGAACGCUCGUUUAUUUGAAUGUAGUAGUCGGGGGUUCAAAUCCCUCACGGUCCA